CACCAUUUUGGUGCAAAAUGGUGCAAAGUGAAUAGUGUUGCACCAAAUAUGGUGCAACACUAUUCACUUUGCACCAUUUUGCACCAAAAUGGUG
rnacentral:miRNA from 1 species